rnacentral:misc_RNA from 1 species
UUUCCGUAGGUGAACCUGCGGAAGGAUCAUUAACGUGCGCUCCUAGAGCAAACAAAACAAAAAUAAACGACCGUGAACACUAAAAAAACAAGUACUUUUUAAAUUUUUCAUCAAUAGUAGUUUGUGUUUCAUUACACAUGCUUUUUUUGAUGAAAAACCCACAACAUUCACCAAAUAUAUACAAAAACCCAUUCUAACUGAAACAUUCAUUUUCUCUCGAGAAAAUAAAUAAUAAACAAUUGACGACUUUUAACGGCGGAUCUCUAGGCUCGUGCACGAUGAAGAACGCAGC